GAUGAAGAACGUAGCGAAAUGCGAUACUUGGUGUGAAUUGCAGAAUCCCGUGAACCAUCGAGUCUUUGAACGCAAGUUGCGCCCGACGCCAUCAGGUUGAGGGCACGUCUGCCUGGGCGUCACAUAUCGUUGCUCGAUGCCUAUCGCAUUGCGAUAGGACUUAGGGCGAAUGAUGGCUUCCCGUGAGCGUUGUUGCCUCGCGGUUGGUUGAAAAUCGAGUCCUUGGUAGGGUGUGCCAUGAUAGAUGGUGGUCGAGUUAGCACGAGGCCGAUCAUGUGCAUGCUCCCCAAAAUAUGGCCUCUGUGACCCACACACGUCGUUUGACGCUCAUGACGAGACCUCAGGUCAGGCGGGGCUACCCGCUGAAUUUAAGCAUAUCAAUAAGCGGAGGA
rnacentral:misc_RNA from 1 species